AAUCACUAUCAGCAUCAGGAGAACAGUCUGGAAAGGCUGGCCGCAGCAGGUGAUAGCCCUGUAUCCGAAGGUGUUGGUAGUGUGAGUUCGAUGAGUAAGGCGGGACACGUGUUAUCCUGUCUGAAUAUGGGGGGACCAUCCUCCAAGGCUAAAUACUCCUGACUGACCGAUAGUGAACCAGUACCGUGAGGGAAAGGCGAAAAGAACCCCGGCGA
rnacentral:rRNA from 1 species